rnacentral:misc_RNA from 1 species
UUGAAGAACCGUUGCCUUCUUCCCGAUCAUCAUAUUCCAGAUCUUUUCGCCUGGACUUUGCUUUGCUUUCCUUUUUUUUUUACUCUACUUUCACAAUUCACGUUCCCUUCCCCAUUUGCAUUCUCGCUGCUAUCAACAAUUCA